AGUGAACGCUGGCGGUAGGCCUAACACAUGCAAGUCGAACGGCAGCACAGUAAGAGCUUGCUCUUACGGGUGGCGAGUGGCGGACGGGUGAGGAAUACAUCGGAAUCUACUUUUUCGUGGGGGAUAGCGUAGGGAAACUUACGCUAAUACCGCAUACGACCUACGGGUGAAAGCAGGGGAUCUUCGGACCUUGCGCGAUUGAAUGAGCCGAUGUCGGAUUAGCUAGUUGGCGGGGUAAAGGCCCACCAAGGCGACGAUCCGUAGCUGGUCUGAGAGGAUGAUCAGCUACACUGGAACUGAGACACGGUCCGGACUCCUACGGGAGGCAGCAGUGGGGAAUAUUGGACAAUGGGCGCAAGCCUGAUCCAGCCAUACCGCGUGGGUGAAGAAGGCCUUCGGGUUGUAAAGCCCUUUUGUUGGGAAAGAAAAGCAGCAGGUUAAUACCCCGCUGUUCUGACGGUACCCAAAGAAUAAGCACCGGCUAACUUCGUG
rnacentral:rRNA from 1 species